rnacentral:misc_RNA from 1 species
AACGCAUAUGGCACCUUUUGGCGCAUGCUGGAAGGUAUGCCUGUUUGAGAAUCAUUUCCACCAUUCUGAUUGGUCGCAUUGCAUCGUCAGAGACCUGGGCCUUCACCACUGAUCGCCCCGAAUGCAGCGUGCACGGUCGUGAUAGCAUUGUUGAUCGACCAAUCGCACAGCACCUUGUCGAUGAUCUCAAAUCAGGCAGGACUACCCGCUGAACUUAA